GAUGAACGCUAGCUACAGGCUUAACACAUGCAAGUCGAGGGACCGGCGCACGGGUGAGUAACACGUAUCCAACCUGCCCUUUACUCGGGGAUAGCCUUUCGAAAGAAAGAUUAAUACCCGAUAUAAAGGAUGGGGAUGCGUUCCAUUAGGUUGUUGGUGAGGUAACGGCUCACCAAGCCUUCGAUGGGUAGGGGUUCGGAGAGGAAGGUCCACCACAUCGGAAAUGAGACACGGACCAAACUCCUACUGGAGGCAGGAGUGAGGAAUAUUGGUCAAGGGGCGCUAGCCUGAACAAGCCGAGUAGAGUGAAGGAGGAAGGCUUAUGGGUCGUAGACUGCUUGUAUAUAAGAAUAUGUAUUAGAUGAAUAAGGAUCGGCUAACUCCGUGCCAGCAGCCGCGGUAAUUC
rnacentral:rRNA from 1 species